UUUGACGAAGCCCCCUCAAGGCUUCGGACCAUAUUUCAUCAAAAUACACCGCUGUGCAGAAUAUUCACAAACUCACUAUCCGUCGAAACCAGUGAGAUGGCAAAAGAUAGGCAUCGUACUGUGAGAUUCACUGACCUUUAAAUAUUACGAAUACAUUUUACGUAAUCACACCAAGUGUAAAUGCUCCACCAAUUUAACAGUCUUUCAAUACAACAGAGAAAGGCGUGUAGCUGUGAAUGUGAUGUUAGGGUGCUCUCGGUUCAGAUAGUCAAGAAAGAGAGGGACGUGAUCGGAGGGAUGAAAAAGUAAAAAACACUCGUCAACUUAGCGUCGGUAAAGUAGUGGUUUGAAUGAAGAAGGACAUUUAUUAAGCCAGGAUUGUUCGUGAGAGGACAUGAAUAUAUCAGCAAAGAGAGGGCCCAAUGGACUGCCCAUACUUGUCUACUCCCCGAAGUGAGGGGAUUUUUGAAUAAUAUCAAUUGUACGAUAAGAACAAGAAAAUGCAUGCGCUGAUUGGUCACUUGCCGAGUUUGCAAUUUGCAUUAGCCUUUGCAUCCGACCAGAGUUUAUUCAAUAAAUUCAAUCAAAAAUAAUUUGCAAAUAAUCAAUCAACGAUAAUUUGCAAAUCAAUCAUGACUAUAUAUAGAGAAUGAAUUAGAAGUUUUUUUUAAUA